GAGCUCACUUUGGCAGCACAUAUACUAAAAUUGGAAGGAUACAGAGAAGAUUAGCAUGGCCCCUGUAUAAGGAUGACAUGCAAAUUUGUGAAGCAUUCCAUAAAAAA
rnacentral:snRNA from 1 species